rnacentral:lncRNA from 1 species
GUGUUCCUGGAAACUACAAAUACCACCAUCUUUUAUUUGUCAUCAUUUGGUAAUGAAGAAGGCUCAGAUGCUACCCAACAAAAGGAGAAAGAACUUCCAAGGAUAACAUCUGUCUCAUUGGCAAAGCCUGUCCUGCUUGUGAUUGUAGCCUUGGAAUUACCAUUGGGUCUGGCACUUCUGAGAUUUACCAACUUGAGACAAUUAUAUAACAACAUGAAGUACCAAGAUGUAUCUUCAUUUGCUGGCAUACCUAAGGAGAAGGAUCACAUUUUGACCCACAGUUGUUAUUCUGCCAUUUGGAUCCAACCAUUUGAAUGCACAUUUCAGCGUCUGGAGAAAAAAAUUACACUGCUUUGAUAUGACCAGAGUGGAUAACUCUACCUAUAGACGUGUUUUUCAUUUGCAUCUGGAAUUCCUGCUGUGGCACGGCCAGUAAAGGAUCUAGUGUUGCUUCAAGGCACCUCGUUGCUGCCGGGGCACAAGUGUUCAGGGCACAAGGAUCCAGUGUUGCUGCAGCUGUGGCAUAGUUUGCAGCCAUGGCUCAGAUUUGAUCUCUGGCCUGGGAACUUCCAUAUGUCACAGGUGUGGCCAAGGAAAAAAACAAAAAUGCAAAGUAAAUAUCCAAAUGAAUUUGCUUUUUCCAAACUUGUCAUAUUUCAUAGUUCCAAACCUGGGGUUCUACCACUUCCUUCCCCCAACCCUUUCCCCAUCAUUUUGCUUAAAACGCCUUAUUUUAUUU